GGUGAACGCUGGCGGCGUGCUUAAGACAUGCAAGUCGAACGCGGUCUUCGGACUGAGUGGCGCACGGGUGAGUAACACGUAACUGACCUACCCCCAAGUCGCGGAUAACUGGCCGAAAGGUCAGCUAAUACGUGAUGUGAUGUCCCCUUUCUGGGGGGCCAUUAAAGGUUUACUGCUUGGGGAUGGGGUUGCGGUCCAUCAGCUAGUUGGCGGGGUAAAGGCCCACCAAGGCAACGACGGAUAGCCGGCCUGAGAGGGUGGCCGGCCACAGGGGCAAUGGGACACAGGUGUCACUCCUACUGGAAGCAGCAGUUAGGAAUCUUCCACAAUGGGCGAAAGCCUGAUGGAGCGAUGCGGCGUGAGGGAUGAAGGUUCUCGGAUCGUAAACCUCUGAAUCAGGGACGAAAGACGCGUAAGCGGGAUGACGGUACCUGAGUAAUAGCACCGGCUAACUCCGUGCCAGCCGCCGCGGUAA
rnacentral:rRNA from 1 species